GAUGAACGCUGGCGGUAUGCUUAACACAUGCAAGUCGAACGGAACCUUUCGGGGUUUAGUGGCGGACGGGUGAGUAACGCGUGAGAAUCGGCCCUCAGGUUGGGGACAACCAUUGGAAACGGUGGCUAAUACCGAAUAAGCCGAGAGGUGAAAGAUUAAUUGCCUGGGGAAGAGCUCGCGUCUGAUUAGCUAGUUGGUGGGGUAAAGGCCUACCAAGGCACCGAUCAGUAACUGGUCUGAGAGGAUGGCCAGUCACACUGGGACUGAGACACGGCCCAG
rnacentral:rRNA from 1 species